rnacentral:rRNA from 1 species
GACGAACGCUGGCGGCGUGCCUAAUACAUGCAAGUAGAACGCUGAAGAGAGGAGCUUGCUCUUCUUGGAUGAGUUGCGAACGGGUGAGUAACGCGUAGGUAACCUGCCUUGUAGCGGGGGAUAACUAUUGGAAACGAUAGCUAAUACCGCAUAACAAUGGAUGACACAUGUCAUUUAUUUGAAAGGGGCAAUUGCUCCACUACAAGAUGGACCUGCGUUGUAUUAGCUAGUAGGUGAGGUAAUGGCUCACCUAGGCGACGAUACAUAGCCGACCUGAGAGGGGGAUCGGCCACACUGGGACUGAGACACGGCCCAGACUCCUACGGGAGGCAGCAGUAGGGAAUCUUCGGCAAUGGGGGCAACCCUGACCGAGCAACGCCGCGUGAGUGAAGAAGGUUUUCGGAUCGUAAAGCUCUGUUGUAAGUCAAGAACGGGUGUGAGAGUGGAAAGUUCACACUGUGACGGUAGCUUACCAGAAAGGGACGGCUAACUACGUG